AACAAAUGGUUACACAGAAAGGUGUUUUUGCAUCACCUCUGCAAAUCAGGUGUGUUUUAAGCUGCACGACAGACUCACAACUGCUGCCGUCCUGUGUAAAGGC